rnacentral:rRNA from 1 species
CCUACGGGAGGCAGCAGUGGGGAAUAUUGGACAAUGGGGGGAACCCUGAUCCAGCCAUGCCGCGUGUGUGAAGAAGGCCCUCGGGUUGUAAAGCACUUUCAGUGAGGAAGAACGCCUGGUGGUUAAUACCCAUCAGGAAAGACAUCACUCACAGAAGAAGCACCGGCUAACUCCGUGCCAGCAGCCGCGGUAAUACGGAGGGUGCGAGCGUUAAUCGGAAUUACUGGGCGUAAAGCGCGCGUAGGUGGCUUGAUAAGCCGGUUGUGAAAGCCCCGGGCUCAACCUGGGAACGGCAUCCGGAACUGUCAAGCUAGAGUGCAGGAGAGGAAGGUAGAAUUCCCGGUGUAGCGGUGAAAUGCGUAGAGAUCGGGAGGAAUACCAGUGGCGAAGGCGGCCUUCUGGACUGACACUGACACUGAGGUGCGAAAGCGUGGGUAGCAAACUGGAUUAGAUACCCGAGUAGUC